UGACUUGCGGCUAUUGAGAUCAUCUGUUCAGAUAAUACCCAGCCGUGACCAUCCUAUUAUGACGGGAAUUAUACCAGUGCUUGCGUCCUUGUAGUUAUUAGAUGGGGCACAAGCUACGUAACAGGAUGUGGAGACGGACGUCACUGAGGGACUAAAUUGUCAUAUGCAUCACUGUGUUUCAUGACGUUUUUUCCUUGACUGUGAUUAAUAUUGAAUCACAUCUUGAUGAAUUAUUAGGUGGAGAUUAGGUUCUAAAUACUUUAUUUUCAGGAAGUGUUUAUGCAGUGACGUUAUUGUGGCUGAUAUAUACUUUGUGCAUAUGACAAUAGGAUGAUGACGUUUUUCUUCUGCUGAUGCCUGACAGGUUUCAUAAUCUGAACACGUAUACGGAUUCAUUCACUGUAACAAUGUCAACCUUUGGAGAGGGAGCCCAACUGAGGUAGAUGACCCCAUAGAAAAAAAAAAGACUGAUUUUCCCAGACAAUUCAGCAAUUUGCUCCUUAACAGCAAGGCAAAUUCGCUGUUCACUACCAUUCUGGGAAAAACCAACUCCAAGAUUCCAUGACAUUUCGCUAAAAUCAGGACUGAUUCUCCAAGAUCUUCACAGUUGUACAUCGUACCUUUGACAGCAUGGUGUGCUUAUGAAAUUCUAGCACAUUUUUUUCCUUUGGGAGCAUUUCUGUGGAUAUUAUGCAGCCCAUCAUCACACCCACUCUUAGUUGACUGUGGUAAUUACUUGUGAAUUUUACAUACCAAACUUUAUUCAUUUUUUUUUUU